AGUUGGUAGCUAUGGUGACGUUGUUACGGCACGGAGGUGCGUGCGCAGCUCGUAGGUAUGGCUGGCGGUUCUUGGUCCACCCCAGGUGUGGCCCCUGAGCUUUCUUCAUCCGCCGUCAUCACGGAUCCCGGAUGAUGUCGUGCUUUUCUAAGUCUGGGAAAUCCCACGAUUCUAGAACUAGAAGGGAGCUGAGGCCAUUGCUGCAUUGGUUGGCAGGCUGUUGUGUGGAAUUUCUGCCAGGGAUUUUGGAGCCAGCUAGAGUGAAGUGGAAGCAUGAAGAUCAGGAGAUCAGGUCAGCCCUGAGUUUGAGGCCAGCCUGAGCUACAUGAGACCCUGUCUCUAAAUAAAUAAAUAAUAAAUAAAUAAAUACAGCUUUAACUAU